rnacentral:rRNA from 1 species
UACAGAGGGUGCGAGCGUUGUUCGGAAUUAUUGGGCGUAAAGGGCGCGUAGGCGGCGCCACAAGUCACUUGUGAAAACUCUGGGCUCAACUCAGAGCCUGCAAGCGAAACUGUGGUGCUGGAGUAUGGGAGAGGUGCGUGGAAUUCCCGGUGUAGCGGUGAAAUGCGUAGAUAUCGGAAGGAACACCAGUGGCGAAAGCGGCUUCCUGGUCCAGCACCGACGUUCAGGCACGAAAGCGUGGGGAGCAAACAGG